UACGAAGGUCCCGAGCGUUGUUCGGAAUUACUGGGCGUAAAGCGCGCGUAGGCGGAUUAGAAAGUUGGGGGUGAAAUCCCGGGGCUCAACCCCGGAACUGCCUCCAAAACUACUAGUCUAGAGGUCGAGAGAGGUGAGUGGAAUUCCGAGUGUAGAGGUGAAAUUCGUAGAUAUUCGGAGGAACACCAGUGGCGAAGGCGGCUCACUGGCUCGAUACUGACGCUGAGGUGCGAAAGCGUGGGGAGCAAACAGG
rnacentral:misc_RNA from 1 species